UACGUAGGGUGCAAGCGUUGUCCGGAAUUAUUGGGCGUAAAGAGCUCGUAGGCGGUCUGUCGCGUCUGCUGUGAAAACUCAGGGCUUAACCCUGAGCUUGCAGUGGGUACGGGCAGACUAGAGUGCGGUAGGGGAGACUGGAAUUCCUGGUGUAGCGGUGAAAUGCGCAGAUAUCAGGAGGAACACCGGUGGCGAAGGCGGGUCUCUGGGCAACAACUGACGCUGGAGGAGCGAAAGCCGUGGGGAGCGAACAGG
rnacentral:rRNA from 1 species